rnacentral:misc_RNA from 1 species
AAACAAGUGCAGUUGUAAAAUUUUUUAAUCAUUCAACAAGGGAUGUACCUCUUGCGCAUGGUAUUUAUGAUCAUAGUAUUGUGCUGUGAUGGCAAUCAUUUGUUUCUCUGAUCUUGCAAUCCAAGUUUUCCUGCUCAUACCAUUAUGAUUCUCCACCUAAUCAUCUGUCAUCAUUUUGUUGCUUAAUGCCAAAAGCAAAUUAGUCAGU